GUGUCAGCAGCCGCGGUAAUUCGGGUGAGGCAAGCGUUGUUCGGAAUCACUGGGCUUAAAGCGCGUGUAGGCGGCUCGGUAAGUACCUUGUGAAAUCCCUUCUCUCAAUGAAGGAACCGCUUGGUAUACUGCCGGGCUGGAGGCAGGUAGGGGUCACUGGAACUCUAGGUGGAGCGGUGAAAUGCGUAGAUAUCUAGAGGAACGCCCGUGGCGAAAGCGGGUGACUGGGCCUGUCCUGACGCUGAGACGCGAAAGCGUGGGUAGCAAACGGGAUUAGAAACCCCCGUAGUCC
rnacentral:rRNA from 1 species